GUUGUAUGGUUAAGUGACUAAGCGUACACGGUGGAUGCCUGGGCAGUCAGAGGCGAUGAAGGACGUACUAACUUGCGAUAAGCGCAGAUAAGGCAGUAAGAGCCGUUUGAGUCUGCGAUUUCCGAAUGGGGAAACCCAACUGCAUAAGUAGUUACUGUUAACUGAAUACAUAGGUUAACAG
rnacentral:rRNA from 1 species